rnacentral:rRNA from 1 species
GUCCCAGCCGUAAACGAUGGAUACUAGGUGUUGGGGGUAUCGACCCCUCCAGUGCCGCAGCUAACGCAUUAAGUAUCCCGCCUGGGGAGUACGGCCGCAAGGUUGAAACUCAAAGGAAUUGACGGGGGCCCGCACAAGCGGUGGAGCAUGUUGUUUAAUACGUCACUAACCGUAGAACCUUACCAGGGCUUGACAUCCGUCGACCGCCGGUGAAAGCCGGUUUUCGGAGCAAUCCGACGGCGAGACAGGUGUUGCAUGGCUGUCGU